rnacentral:rRNA from 1 species
AAAUUGAAGAGUUUGAUCAUGGCUCAGAUUGAACGCUGGCGGCAGGCCUAACACAUGCAAGUCGAACGGUAACAGGAAGCAGCUUGCUGCUUCGCUGACGAGUGGCGGACGGGUGAGUAAUGUCUGGGAAACUGCCUGAUGGAGGGGGAUAACUACUGGAAACGGUAGCUAAUACCGCAUAAUGUCGCAAGACCAAAGAGGGGGACCUUCGGGCCUCUUGCCAUCGGAUGUGCCCAGAUGGGAUUAGCUUGUUGGUGGGGUAACGGCUCACCAAGGCGACGAUCCCUAGCUGGUCUGAGAGGAUGACCAGCCACACUGGAACUGAGACACGGUCCAGACUCCUACGGGAGGCAGCAGUGGGGAAUAUUGCACAAUGGGCGCAAGCCUGAUGCAGCCAUGCCGCGUGUAUGAAGAAGGCCUUCGGGUUGUAAAGUACU